GCAAUUCAUUUUCUUACUAAGAAAAUGAAGCAGGAGGCUGCGGUCUUCUUAAGGCCCAAAUCGGUUUUGGGAUCAAACUGUGCAACACGCCUCACAUGUUUCAUGAAAAAGUACACAGAGUGCCACAGCUCGGUUGUCUUGCUCCCCAGGGGUUGUAAAAUAUUUUUUGUCAACAUCAUGUGGUUUGGUUUGGGUUUUUAGUAAGCUUUGUUUGUAUCCAAGGUAGGAUCUGAAAGCUCUAAAGAAACAGGGAAGAGGGUGGUGAGCCCACAGGCCCCUCGGGAGCUGGGAAGCCACAGCCUGAAGCAGCUUUGGCUCUUUCCCCAGCUCUCCAGUCCCCAGAAUGAUGUGCUCAGAGAUGAGGAGAACCAAAUGCAUCCCUGCUGCAGGGGGGAGAGAAAACGUGAGGAGAAUUGUUCUCUUCUGAGGCCACCGGGCCCCAGCCCCUGGGGUCAGCUCGAGGAUUGGUGUGAAGGGGCGAAGGUUUCCAGAGACGCCUGGCGGUGUUUGGGGACUGGGUUACCAUGGUAACACAACAUGAGCACCAGCCCCCACUGCACUUCCAACAUCAGCACCCUCCCUGAGAUCCCACCGUCUCCCCCGGCAACACGAAACCAACUUGCAGAUGUGUGCAUCUCUUCCUCAAAACGCCUCCCAGGAGGGGCUCUGCUCCACGCGCCCAGGCUGUGUGCUGGGUGUACCAGCCAGGCCACACCUGGCUCGGUCUCCGUAUUCCCUUGCAUUCAAGUGUUAAUCUCAUUCUUUAGAAAAUUCCAGCGGAGAACGAAUGCCCAUCACUAGGGACUGCCUGCACAAAUGAUGGUGUGUCUGAGCAGCCUGAUGCAAUGCACCCAGGGAGAAGGAUGAGGCGGCUUCAUGUACACUGAUACGGAUAAGCCUCAAGACAGAUUGCAGAGCAAGAAAGCCAGGUGCAGACACUGUGGAUAGAAUACUCUUCCAUUAGUUUAAGAAGAUACAUAUAUACACGUGCUCAGACAUACAAAGCAUCUCUCUGGAAGAAUGCAGAAGAAACCCGUAGUGCUGCUUGCCUCUGGGGAGGGAGGCAGAGGUACCCUUUUGUACCUUUGGAAUUAUUGUUUAACUAGAUGCUUGUGUUGCCCAGUCAGCUUAAUAAAUGGAUAAACUAUUAAAAAUCAAUUAGAGAGCUUGCUGUUUAAAUAAAUGUAAUGGAAAACAAAUACUUUUAUAAACAGAGGAGGCUCUCUCCCUCUCUCCUUCAGGCUCAAAGUCAUACUUCGGAAACUUCGGAAGAGGUAAGAACCAAAUAGUGAAGGAAAAUGCAUUCUUCCAGCCUGAUUUCUAGAGUCAAUUGUGCCCUGAGAAUGUGAGGACAGCAUAAAUGUGGUUCCCAACCGUGCAGAACAAACCAGCUGAGAACCCAGUGGGGAAAAGGGGGCAGCUCAGAACUUCACGGACAAAGCACGAAGUGUUGUGUCGGACGACCGGGAAGCUGGGGCGGAGGGCACCAACCGGGGGAUGCCGCUUUCCAAAAGAAGUCCUACACGACGCCGUGGGGGGUUGCUCUCUGCUGUUGUCGAGAAUCCUGGGCGUUCAGGCAAGCAGUUGAGUCCUUUACAACAAAUCCACCUGAUUCCCUGACUCAACACAGCCUCAGCAUGCUUUCCUUCAUUUUAUUUUGGGGGAAAUGCAAAGUGUUGCAGGUGUCAUCCCCUACCCUCCACCUUGCUCUGGCCUGAGCUGUUAUGUCUUUAUUCCCAUGACAGACGGGGAGCCAGUUCAUUGCAGUUGGAUUUGCAAAUCCAGAAUUCCAUGACAGUUCUGAUAGCAGCUGGAUUCACAGUCGGGGUGCCCUUAUACUUGCAUAGUUUACGAAUUAAAACUGACAGAGGUUCCUG